UGUCUAAGUAUAAGCAACUAUACGGUGAAACUGCGAAUGGCUCAUUAAAUCAGUUAUCGUUUAUUUGAUAGUACCUUACUACAUGGAUAACCGUGGUAAUUCUAGAGCUAAUACAUGCUAAAAACCUCGACUUCGGAAGGGGUGUAUUUAUUAGAUAAAAAACCAAUGCCCUUCGGGGCUCCUUGGUGAAUCAUAAUAACUUAACGAAUCGCAUGGCCUUGCGCCGGCGAUGGUUCAUUCAAAUUUCUGCCCUAUCAACUUUCGAUGGUAGGAUAGUGGCCUACCAUGGUAUCAACGGGUAACGGGGAAUUAGGGUUCGACUCCGGAGAGGGAGCCUGAGAAACGGCUACCACAUCCAAGGAAGGCAGCAGGCGCGCAAAUUACCCAAUCCCGACACGGGGAGGUAGUGACAAUAAAUACUGAUACAGGGCUCUUUUGGGUCUUGUAAUUGGAAUGAGUACAAUUUAAAUCCCUUAACGAGGAACAAUUGGAGGGCAAGUCUGGUGCCAGCAGCCGCGGUAAUUCCAGCUCCAAUAGCGUAUAUUAAAGUUGUUGCAGUUAAAAAGCUCGUAGUUGAACCUUGGGCCUGGCUGGCCGGUCCGCCUCACCGCGUGUACUGGUCCGGCCGGGCCUUUCCUUCUGGGGAACCUCAUGCCCUUCACUGGGCGUGUUGGGGAACCAGGACUUUUACUUUGAAAAAAUUAGAGUGU
rnacentral:rRNA from 1 species